rnacentral:rRNA from 1 species
AGAGUUUGAUCCUGGCUCAGAGCGAACGCUGGCGGCAGGCCUAACACAUGCAAGUCGAACGGACCCUUCGGGGUUAGUGGCGGACGGGUGAGUAACACGUGGGAACGUGCCUUUAGGUUCGGAAUAGCUCCUGGAAACGGGUGGUAAUGCCGAAUGUGCCCUUCGGGGGAAAGAUUUAUCGCCUUUAGAGCGGCCCGCGUCUGAUUAGCUAGUUGGUGGGGUAAUGGCCCACCAAGGCUACGAUCAGUAGCUGGUCUGAGAGGAUGACCAGCCACAUUGGGACUGAGACACGGCCCAAACUCCUACGGGAGGCAGCAGUGGGGAAUCUUGCGCAAUGGGCGAAAGCCUGACGCAGCCAUGCCGCGUGUAUGAUGAAGGUCUUAGGAUUGUAAAAUACUUUCACCGGUGAAGAUAAUGACUGUAGCCGGAGAAGAAGCCCCGGCUAACUUCGUGCCAGCAGCCGCGGUGAUACGAAGGGGGCUAGCGUUGCUCGGAAUUACUGGGCGUAAAGGGAGCGUAGGCGGACAUUUAAGUCAGAGGGUGAAAUCCCGGAGCUUAACUUCGGAACUGCCUUUGAUACUGGGUGUCUUGAGUGUGAGAGAGGUAUGUGGAACUCCGAGUGUAGAGGUGAAAUUCGUAGAUAUUCGGAAGAACACCAGUGGCGAAGGCGACAUACUGGCUCAUUACUGACGCUGAGGCUCGAAAGCGUGGGGAGCAAACAGGAUUAGAUACCCUGGUAGUCCACGCCGUAAACGAUGAUUGCUAGUUGUCGGGAAGCUUGCUUCUCGGUGACGCAGCUA